rfam:Triticum aestivum genome assembly, contig: Triticum_aestivum_CS42_TGACv1_scaffold_019551_1AS
GAUAUACUCCUUCUGUUCGAAAAAGCUUGUCCCUCAAAUGGAUGUAUCUAGCAUCAAGUUAGUGCUAGAUAGAUCCAUUUGAGGAACAAGCUUGGGACAAGUUAUUUCAGACGGAGGGAGUAUGUA